rnacentral:rRNA from 1 species
AUCAUGCAGUCGAGCGCAGGAAGCGAGCUGAUCCCCUUCGGGGGUGACGCUCGUGGAAUGAGCGGCGGACGGGUGAGUAACACGUGGGCAACCUGCCUGUAAGAUCGGAAUAACUCCGGGAAACCGGAGCUAAUGCCGGGUAACAUGUUCCUUCGCAUGAAGGAACAUUAAAAGAUGGCUUCUCGCUAUCACUUACAGAUGGGCCCGCGGCGCAUUAGCUAGUUGGUGAGGUAACGGCUCACCAAGGCAACGAUGCGUAGCCGACCUGAGAGGGUGAUCGGCCACACUGGGACUGAGACACGGCCCAGACUCCUACGGGAGGCAGCAGUAGGGAAUCUUCCGCAAUGGACGAAAGUCUGACGGAGCAACGCCGCGUGAACGAUGAAGGUCUUCGGAUCGUAAAGUUCUGUUGUUAGGGAAGAACAAGUACCGUGCGAAUAGAACGGUACCUUGACGGUACCUAACGAGGAAGCCCCGGCUAACUACGUGCCAGCAGCCGCGGUAAUACGUAGGGGGCAAGCGUUGUCCGGAAUUAUUGGGCGUAAAGCGCGCGCAGGCGGUUCCUUAAGUCUGAUGUGAAAGGCCACGGCUCAACCGUGGAGGGCCAUUGGAAACUGGGGAACUUGAGGACAGAAGAGGAGAGUGGAAUUCCACGUGUAGCGGUGAAAUGCGUAGAUAUGUGGAGGAACACCAGUGGCGAAGGC